rnacentral:rRNA from 1 species
UACGUAGGGAGCAAGCGUUGUCCGGAAUCAUUGGGCGUAAAGCGCGCGUAGGCGGCCCGAUAAGUCCGCUGUGAAAGUCAACGGCUCAACUGUUGGAUGCCGGUGGAUACUGUCGGGCUAGAGUACGGAAGAGGCAAGUGGAAUUCCUGGUGUAGCGGUGGAAUGCGCAGAUAUCAGGAGGAACACCUAUAGCGAAGGCGGCUUGCUGGGACGUUACUGACGCUGAGGCGCGAAAGCGUGGGGAGCGAACAGG